AACUGCGAAUGGCUCAUUAAAUCAGUUAUCGUUUAUUUGAUAGUACCCUACUACAUGGAUACCUGUGGUAAUUCUAGAGCUAAUACAUGCCUAAAACCCCGACUUCGGAAGGGGUGUAUUUAUUAGAUAAAAAACCAAUGCCCUUCGGGGCUCCUUGGUGAUUCAUAAUAACUUCACGAAUCGCAUGGCCUUGCGCCGGCGAUGGUUCAUUCAAAUUUCUGCCCUAUCAACUUUCGAUGGUAGGAUAGUGGCCUACCAUGGUGGCAACGGGUAACGGGGAAUUAGGGUUCGAUUCCGGAGAGGGAGCCUGAGAAACGGCUACCACAUCCAAGGAAGGCAGCAGGCGCGCAAAUUACCCAAUCCCGAUACGGGGAGGUAGUGACAAUAAAUACUGAUACAGGGCUCUUUUGGGUCUUGUAAUUGGAAUGAGAACAAUCUAAAUCCCUUAACGAGGAACAAUUGGAGGGCAAGUCUGGUGCCAGCAGCCGCGGUAAUUCCAGCUCCAAUAGCGUAUAUUAAAGUUGUUGCAGUUAAAAAGCUCGUAGUUGAACCUUGGGCCCGUCCUGCCGGUCCGCCUCACCGCGAGUACUGGUCCGGAUGGGCCUUUCUUUCUGGGGAAUCCCAUGGCCUUCACUGGCUGUGGCGGGGAACCAGGACUUUUACUGUGAAAAAAUUAGAGUGUUCAAAGCAGGCCUUUGCUCGGAUACAUUAGCAUGGAAUAAUAGAAUAGGACGUGCGGUUCUAUUUUGUUGGUUUCUAGGACCGCCGUAAUGAUUAAUAGGGAUAGUCGGGGGCGUCAGUAUUCAGCUGUCAGAGGUGAAAUUCUUGGAUUUGCUGAAGACUAACUACUGCGAAAGCAUUCGCCAAGGAUGUUUUCAUUAAUCAGGGAACGAAAGUUAGGGGAUCGAAGACGAUCAGAUACCGUCGUAGUCUUAACCAUAAACUAUGCCGACUAGGGAUCGGGCGGUGUUUCUAUGAUGACCCGCUCGGCACCUUACGAGAAAUCAAAGUUU
rnacentral:rRNA from 1 species